AAUUGAAAAUGCGUUUUAUGUUCUUCCUUUAACAGGAAGCUAAGAGGGAAUCAGGUUUAAACCCUGAGCGGUCCCGCCACUGUGAUUGGGGAGCGAACUGCGGUAUACCACUGGGAAACCGGGAAGGUGCAGCGAGCUGUGAUCCAUAAGCCAGGAGACCUGCAUAAAAUUGUUUUUAAUCG
rnacentral:ncRNA from 20 species